UGUAUUAUUGUAGGAUAUCAUGCCAGGAUACACUAGGGGAAUAUUCAGCCAAAAUGAAGCUUCCGUAUGUGUUAUAGAUUCAGUGGGGAAAAUUCAUGUCAGCGCUUAACUUUUCCCAAUGAAAAUAAUUUAAAAAUUAAACAAUGUUUUGAAAUGCUUAAAUAUUGUGUUCAAUAUGUUUAGUCCCAACCUUUUUCACAGCUCUCUACAGUAGUGUAUGACUGUGUAGCCAUAUAACCCUCAACUAGCUUUUUUCUGUUAAAACUGCAAACUACCUUUGAAAAGAAUUGAAUCAAGUUUCUUUUACAUUUUUGGAUGAAUUGAGCCUUAAUAAAAAAAAUAUGCUUGGUUCAUUUAAUUUGGUUUAAUUAUUUUUCUAUUUUAAUUCCCAUGUACUUUUAUAUCUUCAAUUAAAUAUUUUUAAUAUAGUAUAUUGGAAGUAUUAUUAUGAGAAAGAUGCAUUGCUUAUACAUGCACCCUCUGCAUAUUCAAUCAUAUAUUCUAAAAUAACACAGCCUGAAUAUCUAUCUAAAAGCAUAUAAAUACUAUGUAUUGUCCAUACACUUGUUUCAGUGCUCUGUACUUUAAGGUUGGAAGAGAGACUGUAUUUGGCUGAAGAAAAGAAAUGUGAAUCUGGUACCAAAACAUUCAUUAAUGCUAGCCAGUUUUUGGCAACGAAAGGCAAUAUUGGAUCCUGGAUGGGUACCAAUUGUUUUAUCUUCCUUUGCACUCCUCUUUUUACCUGAAGACUUAUUAGCUAUAAUCUCAAGACAUGGCCAUGCAGGAUUUAUUUAUUUAUCUUGGUGCCUUGGAAUCAGUGCUGGAAGUGGUACCUAACAAAAGAAGGUACCUGGGUAUGGGACAUUUUGUUUGACCUUGGUCCUCUCUGUAUCACUUAUGUCCAACCUAGUUUCCUCUUUCAUCUGUCUUGAAAAGAGGCAGGGGAACGGCACGGGCCAUUUCUCUGUUGUUGUUUUUGUCAGACUUUAUACUUCGCCCCUCAGUCAAAUACUCACACUGGCUUAGGUUCAGAAAUGCCAUAUCAAAUUCAUUCUGUAGUAAUACCCAGAAACACCCUAGAUGAUAGACAACCGAGGCAAUACAGUCCUGUUGUACAUCACACAAGGAAAUGUGAGGCAAAGGAACUAUUGUUGAGUGUACCACACCCUGAUGAUGGUACCAUGCUUGUAGAAUAGUUUUAGAGUGCAGUAUUAAGCUUAUACCCCUGGAUAGCAACUAGUUUUCCAGUAAGGCUAUUUUUUAAACUCAGCCAGGACCAGUACUUCAACAUUUGUCACCAAAAGGGAGAUAAAUGUUGUUGUGAGAGAAGAAUAUUAAAACUUCUGUCUAUGAAGGAGGGAGUUAUCAACCGAAACAAGUUGAGCAUUUUUGUACCUGGCUCACAAGCUCCUGUUGCUGAUCUCUAGCUGACAAGUUGCCACUUGACAGAUAUCUCUUUUUUUUGGGGGGGGGACCUUAUUCUUGUGGCUGUAAUUUGUUUUAAACUGUUUUUUAUAUAUUUUAUUGAAAAUAUUCUCGCAACCUACCCUGAGUCCUUAUGGUGAAGGGCAGGUAAGAAAUUGAAGUGACAACUACAAAAUAUUAAGCUUAUUCUCCUGGUCAACAAGUUGUUUUCCAGACAGGCUAUUUCUUUGAAGGUGCUCAAGGUGGUAUACAUGAUUGUCCCAUUUUACUAUCACAACAACCCUGUGAGGUAAAUUAGGCUGGCAGAUUGUGACUGUCCCAAGCUCAUUCAGUGAGCUUCAUGACUGAGCAGGGAUUUGAACCCUAAUUUCCCAGGUGAUAUGCAACCAUCUAACCACUACACAACCCUGGCUGACACAGAAGAUGAUCGCUUACACAUUGCUGAAUGUUUGGAUAUAGAAUUAGAACCUCUGUACCUGCCUAGUAAUGCUUUAAACGAUUGCAUUUAGCAUAUCUACUGACUUUAUGGGAUCACUGCAGCUGGUUUUAAGUGAUGCAUGAAAUGAAGAAUGCCUAGCUGUCUAAAGAAGAGAUAAUAGUGGCUUGUUGGCAGUCAAAGCUCUGCAGUGAUGUCCCCACCCCCUGGGCAAAUUGUGGGAUUCAAAUCCUCUUAUGAGAAAUGCCCUCUAAACUACAAAGUAACAUGAAAAACAUUUACAAUGCACUACCCUAAGCAUCAAAACUUUGAAGACAGUCCCAAUGAGCUCAAGAGAGUAUGUAGGACUGCAGCUGUCAUGUAUUAUCUUCCCAGUACUGUAUAGGAACUUGUUCUCUCCUAUCUUUUUACACAGCAAGAGUAGGACUAGAUGACUUCCAGUGGCUUUUGCAAACACUAAUAUGGCUGGACUCUGCCUGAUGAGUACUAUGAAAAGAGAAAGAAAAGCACCAAAGUUUAGUAUAACUCCACAACGGUUUAUCUGUAAUUGAUUUAAACUAUUCUCUGGGAUUAUUUGUUCUUUAUCAUUUAUAUCGGCUUCAAUUAUUUCUUUGAUUCGUGGGUCAUUUAAUAGUUGAA